UACGGGGGGGGGCAAGCGUUGUUCGGAAUUACUGGGCGUAAAGGGCUCGUAGGCGGCCAACUAAGUCAUACGUGAAAUCCCUCAGCUUAACUGGGGAACUGCGUGUGAUACUGGAUGGCUUGGAUUUGGGAGAGGGAUGCGGAAUUCCAGGUGUAGCGGUGAAAUGCGUAGAUAUCUGGAGGAACACCGGUGGCGAAGGCGGCAUCCUGGACCAAUAUUGACGCUGAGGAGCGAAAGCCAGGGGAGCAAACGGG
rnacentral:rRNA from 1 species